GAUGAACGCUGGCGGCGUGCCUAAUACAUGCAAGUCGAGCGAACAGACGAGGAGCUUGCUCCUCUGACGUUAGCGGCGGACGGGUGAGUAACACGUGGAUAACCUACCUAUAAGACUGGGAUAACUUCGGGAAACCGGAGCUAAUACCGGAUAAUAUAUUGAACCGCAUGGUUCAAUAGUGAAAGACGGUUUUGCUGUCACUUAUAGAUGGAUCCGCGCCGCAUUAGCUAGUUGGUAAGGUAACGGCUUACCAAGGCGACGAUGCGUAGCCGACCUGAGAGGGUGAUCGGCCACACUGGAGCUGGGACACGGUCCAGACUCCUACGGGAGGCAGCAGUAGGGAAUCUUCCGCAAUGGGCGAAAGCCUGACGGAGCAACGCCGCGUGAGUGAUGAAGGUCUUCGGAUCGUAAAACUCUGUUAUUAGGGAAGAACAAAUGUGUAAGUAACUGUGCACGUCUUGACGGUACCUAAUCAGAAAGCCACGGCUAACUACGUG
rnacentral:rRNA from 1 species